rnacentral:lncRNA from 1 species
AGACCCCUGGGCUAACAGCCCAAGGGAUGCACCUCAAUGGUCCCAACUGGUGCCCAUAUCAGCACGCCUGGACCAGCUCAGAACAACGACCCCCACCAAUGUCUCUAUCUCAGGAGAGGAUCCUCCUCUCAUCAAGAUGCCCCCAGAGCCCACCAGGCAAGAAUUGAUUUCAGCCCAAUUACUUUUAUCUUAAAACAAGCUUUAUCAAGACCACUGACAGGUGCAUUCCCUGUGGAGGUGAGAGAUCCAGAGUUCCAACUUACUCCCCAAAUACUAAAGGCUGGUCUACAUUGGUAAUAACCAAAAACUGUAAG